rnacentral:rRNA from 1 species
GAUGAACGCUGGCGGCGUGCCUAAUACAUGCAAGUCGAGCGAAUGGAUUAAGAGCUUGCUCUUAUGAAGUUAGCGGCGGACGGGUGAGUAACACGUGAGUAACCUGCCCAUAAGACUGGGAUAACUCCGGGAAACCGGGGCUAAUACCGGAUAACAUUUUGAACCGCAUGGUUCGAAAUUGAAAGGGGGCUUCAGCUGUCACUUAUGGAUGGACCCGCGUCGCAUUAGCUAGUUGGUGAGGUAACGGCUCACCAAGGCAACGAUGCGUAGCCGACCUGAGAGGGUGAUCGGCCACACUGGGACUGAGACACGGCCCAGACUCCUACGGGAGGCAGCAGUAGGGAAUCUUCCGCAAUGGACGAAAGUCUGACGGAGCAACGCCGCGUGAGUGAUGAAGGCUUUCGGGUCGUAAAACUCUGUUGUUAGGGAAGAACAAGUGCUAGUUGAAUAAGCUGGCACCUUGACGGUACCUAACCAGAAAGCCACGGCUAACUACGUGCCAGCCGCCGCGGUAA